AGAACUUAGCAGAGAUGCUUGGUGCCUUCGGGAACGUCUGAGACAGGUGCUGCAUGGCUGUCGUCAGCUCGUGUUGUGAAAUGUUGGGUUAAGUCCCGCAACGAGCGCAACCCUUAUCCUUUGUUGCCAGCGGUCCGGCCGGGAACUCAAAGGAGACUGCCAGUGAUAAACUGGAGGAAGGUGGGGAUGACGUCAAGUCAUCAUGGCCCUUACGAGUAGGGCUACACACGUGCUACAAUGGCGCAUACAAAGAGAAGCGACCUCGCGAGAGCAAGCGGACCUCAUAAAGUGCGUCGUAGUCCGGAUUGGAGUCUGCAACUCGACUCCAUGAAGUCGGAAUCGCUAGUAAUCGUGGAUCAGAAUGCCACGGUGAAUACGUUCCCGGGCCUUGUACACACCGCCCGUCACACCAUGGGAGUGGGUUGCAAAAGAAGUAGGUAGCUUAACCUUCGGGAGGGCGCUUACCACUUUGUGAUUCAUGACUGGGGUGAAGUCGUAACAAGGUAGGCGUAGUGCU
rnacentral:rRNA from 1 species